GAGUAACGCGUGAGCAAUCUGCCUUUAAGAGGGGGAUAACAGUCGGAAACGGCUGCUAAUACCGCAUAAAGCAUCAAAUUCGCAUGUUUUUGAUGCCAAAGGAGCGAUCCGCUUUUAGAUGAGCUCGCGUCUGAUUAGCUGGUUGGCGGGGUAACGGCCCACCAAGGCGACGAUCAGUAGCCGGACUGAGAGGUUGAACGGCCACAUUGGGACUGAGACACGGCCCAG
rnacentral:rRNA from 1 species